ACAUGUAGAGAAAACAAUAAACUCCAAUCAAAUUAAUAUAAAAUAUAAAUAAAUGAGAGAAUUGAAAUAUAAUUGUAGUGGGCCAAAUUUGCCCGAGCUCAUUAGAAAUCCAAAAAAAAAUAUAUAUAAAUAAACAAAUAAAAAUAAAAACAACCCACUGUCCAUUACAGUCCAAUUACAGAAACCAAUAGCGCAAACUAAUAUUAAAACCCAAGACCCAAGUGACAAACCCAAUGACUAAGCUUAGACCUGACCCAAAAAUAGGCCCAGUAAGCCCAAUGCCUAAACAGAGAAACCCUAGCAGCUUUCUGCUUGUGCCGUAGCAACCACACCGCGCCACGUCCACCCUCCAUACGAUGCCAGCGCUUUAGCAGCCAUGCCACGCCCAAACCGCCGUACCUGAGCGCGCACCCAUACCUGCAAGAAGACAAAAAGAGCAUCAGUGAAUAGAAACAAAGAUAUAUUGUAUAUUUUCAAUUUAUUUUUCUCUCUUUUUCGACUAUAAAAGCCAAGCUUUUAAUCGUUGUAAAGGUUACGAAAUACAAACGCACAUUUACGCAUACAGAGUUAAUAGAAAGCAAUCGAAAAAUAGAAGGUGAUUCAUACUUUUGAUUUCUGUAAUCUUUUUCUUUUUCUACUGAUAUUUAUCCAAGUCUUUCAGUAUUACUUUUUUAAAGAAUAAAAAAAAGGAAAAGAAAGGGGCUAUAUCGUGCGAUUCAACCGACGGUUCUCCUUUGCUUUGUCGAAAUCGGAGUUAAAAGAGGGGGAUUUCGUGGCCAAGGGAUAGUGAAUCGGAGCCGGAAGUGCGAGGCGUUGUUUCGAUGGCAAUUUGGUGCUUGGGAAGUGAAGGUCGAACGGAGGCUGAACAAGAGCAAGCAACUAGGGUUUCGGUUUCCCCUUUUGGCUUUGCCAAAAUGUUCUGACUUCUAGGCCGAUUUCCCAUUUUAUUUGAGGGUAUGAGGCGACGUCGUUUCAGGCUAGGUUCAACAGCCUUUGAAACGACGCCGGAUGGAUCUAUUUGGCACAACCCGCGCGCGUGUGACCCGACCUGGGGAGGGAUCCGCGUGCUUCCCGUUAAUGGGAAAUUUUCACAUUAGGUCCUCCAUAUUCGCGCGAGUAUUCGAUUGCGCCCUAUGCGCCAUGUUUUUUUUUUGAUUUGGACUUGUGAUUUAUGCCUUGUUGCAAUCUGAUCUGUAAUGAACCGAAAGUUACGGUAUCAGAAAUUGAGUCUCGAGUACUGUUUCUGUGAAAUUUAUUCACGAAUAUUUAUUAGAAAUAUUUAUGAAUUAUAGUUGAAUGGUU
rnacentral:lncRNA from 1 species